UGAUACAUACUCUCUAAAAGGACCAAGUAUUCCCAUAAUAAUAUUUAUCCCAAAUCUUUGGUUUACACUUCCACAAGCUCAUGUUAAAUACUAGCUAAUCACAUAUAAAGGCUAGUUUCUCAUGAAAAAUAUUGGUCAAAGCAGCAACUGCAUGUUUUGCUGCCUCUAGAAGGCCUAAAGACUUCCGUUUUACUUCCUUUUUUUAGAUGAAAGCUUAGAAUCUCAGUAAACCCGUGGCCUAAGUAGGCACUGGAUGGCAUGUCUAAAAUCUGGGUAAAACUUAGCCAGCUAGAUAAUACAGUAGCCCAGGGAUCUAUUUGACAGACAGUUAACAGUCACACUAGGCUGUAAUGUAGCACGAUGAGGGAUUCAUGACAGGUCCUGAAAAACUUUCUGUGAGGGCUGUUUUAACCUUUACAACGGGGGAGAGCAGUUCGAAGGCUUCGUAAAGCCUAGUGUUUUUCUGUGUGUCUUGUCUGGAAAUGACAGCUAUUAUCUCUAGAGCUUAUAAAAGUUGUUUUUAAACCACAGCUCCCAGAAUCCUCCAGCCAACAUAGCCAGGGGCCAUACAGACUAGGGAAUUCUUGCAGCUGCGGUAACAAACAAAAAAAAGCCCUGAUUUUUUCAACCUCUGUUUCUGCCUCAGAUUUUGUAACACAAUCAUUGAAGUGAUUUGAUGGCACGUAACAACAGACAAGAACUUCAGGGGUUUCUAAUGUUUCCAUUUUAUUUGAGAAUCUGGGCACACUGCUGGCGCACUCCUGCUCUUCAGCAUCCUUGGAUCCAAGAAGGAUUCUACUGAGGCCUUAACUAUGACCAAUAGUUCAAGAUGAGAAUUGAAGGUUCCCCUGCCACACAAGCUCAUCUUUCCCAGCAGUGGCAUCUGAAAUGACCAUUAUUUUCUACAUGAUUAGAAGAAAUGUGA
rnacentral:lncRNA from 1 species